UCUGCGUUUAUGUCACUGGCUGCGGAGUAUCCUGUACCUUUUGUACCCAGCAGUGAUUUUGAAGUAGGAGAAAGCUCCAUGCCUUCUAUCAGGAUAACCUACUUGGACUCGGAUGAACCGAUCUCAAACCCACCAGUUCCCAGUGAGGUUUCUGCUGCUUUAAACAUCACACAGCCUGAUGAGGAGAAGGAGUAUGUGAACAGCAAUGACACCUCAAGGAGCAGCAGUGAGAUCGCCAGCUCAGGGAAUGAGUCAACUGUCAAAACUACAGAUUCAAAGGCGCAGGUGGAUUCAGACAGAACUGGCUCAAGCGUGGAAGUUAGCAAGACAGUUCUUAUUGUCCAAGAGCUGUUUCCAUCUGAAGAUUCUGUACUCACAUGUCAGAACUCGUUGGUUUCUGAAACUCCUAAGAAGACAGAGAGAGCAGGAUCAAGCUCUGAGAUCAACUCAGAAGCGGAGAAUUGUACACACUUUGUGAAGCUCCUAGAGUCCCAGCAACAAUACGAGCAGGUGUUUGCGGACAAUGAAGCACAGUGGUUGUUUUCUACAGAAUGGCUUCAGAAAGGGAUGAGAUCUCGUUCCACAACUGGACAACAACUUGUUACACAAGAGAAUGUUGCUGCCUUUGACUCAGACUGUAGAGUCCUAACCUUUCAGGGUAGGCAGAGUUUUGAGUCUAAUGCUCACUUGGAUAAGAUAGAAACUCCAACAAAGAAGAGAACUACAGGCCACGCUCGGUUCCGGUGUUUGUCUUCCACAAAUAAAGCUUCUGAGCAGUCACAAGUAGGAUGGUAUAGCAGACAGACGCAAGUGGCCUCAAGCAGAAAGAAACGAACCACUAAGUCUCAGACCAAACAGCUCACACUUCUCCCUAAUCACUGCCACUUUCCACCUUCAUUUGCUGGUAAUGAUAUUUUACUCACUCUUUCUUAAAUCUUGAACUUAAUAAAUGCAGACUAUUUUGUUGCUAAUGUUCUUUGCAGCAGGACUAGCUCCAGAAGCUAUUUGGCAGCAACGCCACUCUAUUGAAGCAAUCAGCGAGCUAAUGCGUCUACUAGACAUCAACAGAGAGUACUCAGAAACUGCUCUUGUUCCUUACGGAAUGAACAGCAGUUACAGCGUAGGAAACCAGAUUGUGAUCUUCAACGGUGGCGCUGGAGCUAUAGUGCCUUCGACUCGCGUUAAGAAGCCGCGGCGCGAACGUGCAAAGGUUCAUAUAGAUAAUGAGACGGAUAGAGUGUGGAAGCUUUUGAUGGAGAGUAUUGAUAGCGAAGGUGUUGAUGGAUCAGAUGAGAAGAAGGCCAAAUGGUGGGAGGAAGAACGUAAUGUGUUUAGAGGAAGAGCUGACUCAUUCAUAGCACGAAUGCAUCUUGUUCAAGGUAACUACACACCACAUGUUUUUCUUACAAGUGUUUGAUCUCUUAGUUAUAACUUGUUGUUAUGGUCUUUGGUUGCUAACAGGUGAUAGACGUUUUACACCAUGGAAAGGAUCAGUUGUUGAUUCUGUGGUUGGAGUGUUUCUCACUCAAAACGUUUCUGAUCAUCUCUCAAGGUAUAAGCUCUUACAUGGUUCUAUGUCUUUACUUAGUCUAAGACAACUAACUUCUUUUCUUUGUCUCUAGCUCUGCGUUUAUGUCACUGGCUGCGGAGUAUCCUGUACCUUUUGUACCCAGCAGUGAUUUUGAAGUAGGAGAAAGCUCCAUGCCUUCUAUCAGGAUAACCUACUUGGACUCGGAUGAACCGAUCUCAAACCCACCAGUUCCCAGUGAGGUUUCUGCUGCUUUAAACAUCACACAGCCUGAUGAGGAGAAGGAGUAUGUGAACAGCAAUGACACCUCAAGGAGCAGCAGUGAGAUCGCCAGCUCAGGGAAUGAGUCAACUGUCAAAACUACAGAUUCAAAGGCGCAGGUGGAUUCAGACAGAACUGGCUCAAGCGUGGAAGUUAGCAAGACAGUUC
rnacentral:lncRNA from 1 species